rnacentral:rRNA from 1 species
AUUGAACGCUGGCGGCAUGCUUUACACAUGCAAGUCGAACGGUAACAGGCCGCAAGGUGCUGACGAGUGGCGAACGGGUGAGUAAUGCAUCGGAACGUGCCCAGUCCUGGGGGAUAACUACUCGAAAGAGUAGCUAAUACCGCAUACGAUCUAUGGAUGAAAGCGGGGGACCGUAAGGCCUCGCGCGAUUGGAGCGGCCGAUGUCAGAUUAGGUAGUUGGUGGGGUAAAGGCUCACCAAGCCAACGAUCUGUAGCUGGUCUGAGAGGACGACCAGCCACACUGGGACUGAGACACGGCCCAGACUCCUACGGGAGGCAGCAGUGGGGAAUCUUGGACAAUGGGCGCAAGCCUGAUCCAGCAAUGCCGCGUGCAGGAAGAAGGCCUUCGGGUUGUAAACUGCUUUUGUACGGAACGAAACGGCUCUGGUUAAUACCCGGGGCUAAUGACGGUACCGUAAGAAUAAGCACCGGCUAACUACGUG